GACGAACGCUGGCGGCGUGCUUAACACAUGCAAGUCGAACGAUGAAGCUGGAGCUUGCUCCGGUGGAUUAGUGGCGAACGGGUGAGUAACACGUGAGCAAUCUGCCCUUGACUCUGGGAUAACUGCGGGAAACUGUAGCUAAUACCGGAUACGAGACCUGAAGGCAUCUUCGGGUCUGGAAAGAAUUUCGGUCAAGGAUGAGCUCGCGGCCUAUCAGCUUGUUGGUGAGGUAAUGGCUCACCAAGGCGAAGACGGGUAGCCGGCCUGAGAGGGUGACCGGCCACACGGGGACUGAGACACGGCCCAGACGCCUACGGGAGGCAGCAGUGGGGAAUAUUGCACAAUGGGCGAAAGCCUGAUGCAGCAACGCCGCGUGAGGGAUGAAGGCCUUCGGGUUGUAAACCUCUUUUAGCAGGGAAGAAGCGAAAGUGACGGUACCUGCAGAAAAAGCACCGGCUAACUACGUGCCAGCAGCCGCCGUAA
rnacentral:rRNA from 1 species